rnacentral:rRNA from 1 species
UACGUAGGGUGCGAGCGUUGUCCGGAAUCAUUGGGCGUAAAGGGCGCGUAGGUGGCGGGACAAGCGUGCGGUGAAAGCUCGGGGCUCAACCCCGAGUCGGCCGUGCGAACUGUUUUGCUGGAGCACUGUAGAGGCAGGCGGAAUUCCUGGUGUAGCGGUGAAAUGCGUAGAUAUCAGGAGGAACACCUGCGGUGUAGACGGCUUACUGGACCAUAACUGACGCUGAGGCACGAAAGCGUGGGUAGCAAACAGG